CUUCUCCUCUAUCUAUAAAUAGCCCUUUGACCCUAAAUUUUACUAGCAAUGUCCCAUCACUCCCGUCGCCGCCGGCAGCCAACUACCCACUCCUCUUCCACCUCGGGAUCCCUCCCGAUCCUUCUCCACCCAACCAGCGCCUCUCCUGGUCUCCUCCUCGUUUUCCCCUCCUCUGCUCGUUCGUCCCCGAGCAUCUCGCUCCACUAGCAGGCCAGCGCCUCCACCGUCGCCGGCAACCGCGUCACCAUGACCCCCGCGGCCUCAAGCCCCUCGUGCCGAGCAACCCUCCUGGUCGCCUCCCUCCUCCCGUGCUUCGAUACAGGGUGGAUCGGAACCAGUGCCCGAGCCCUCCUCUACCUCUCCUCGAGCUCGGCCGCCCCAACGUCGUUUUCCCCUUCGCCUCACAUCUCUCUCUCUCUUUCUAAAUCGCAGCAACAUGAGCCUCGCCAUGAACGCCCGUCGCCGGACGUCUCCGCAGCCGUUCCUCGCCAAAUCCCACGUCGCCUUGAACGGAGGCCACCUCGUGCCGCCGGUCGCCUCCCCAUGCCAAAUCCGGAGCGCCCAGUCCUCUGUCUCCACGUUGGCUCCGUCGCCUCGUCAAGUUCCUGGAGCUGCUGCUGCUCCCUGCAUCGCCCCGCGCUCGCUGCCGCCUUCAGCCACCCGAGGUCCUCCUCCUCGCCGCCGCUGCUCCGGCGAGCACCACCAGGACGCCGCCGCCAUGGCCUCAGCUCUCCGCCCGCCUCCGCCCACGUCCUCGACUGGAUCCACCGGCCGCGCCAAGUCCCGCAGCCGCUGACGUCGCCGCGUCUUCUUCCCCUGCGCUGCUCGAGAGAGAGAGCCGCACCCAAGCCCCGUGCUGCACCUCUGCUUCGUUCGAGCAGAGGAUGACGCCUCCUUGUCCGCUUCGCCUUGGCCUGCCUCCUCGUUGCGGGCCUCUACACCGAACGGCCCAAGGCCACUAGGUAAGCAGACCCAGAUCCAGCGCUCACUAGUCAGGCCCAGUUCCAGCAGAUUCGGCCCGACUAAUGUUUUUUCCCUCUGGGUGAUUUUAGCUAUUUAUCCAGAGAACGCCUGUUUUGCAGAAGAGCCCUCAUGCCUCAUACAUUUAAUAUCUCACAAACCGUGCAUCAUAUGUAAAUAAUUUAAAUAUGUAAAAUGCUUCGAAUUUCAUCUAGUUUCAUAAUAUUCAACGUUCAUCCGUGAUUAAAAUGUUUAAAAUGUUGUUUGCAUUUAAUUUGCAUUAAUAAUAUGUUAACAUGGUUUAUUUCAUAUCUAAUUAACCGUAGCUCCGAAUUAAAUAAACUUUAUAUGUAAAUGGGGUAAAAAAUGCAUAGAUUAACAUGGUGCACGUUAUUUUCCUGUUUAACAACUCUAAAAUAUGGCUUAGGGCAGAACAGUAGCAAAUUCGGAAUAUGCAUAUGGGGAUUUUUCGGAAUUGUUGUUUGUGUUUCGGCCUCAUUUAAACUUGCCUAAAUGUGCAGUUUACUUAUGCUUCACCCCUUGCCAUGUUUAAUAACAUUUAAUAUUGUUGGGUACAUAACCGAGAGAGAACUAAAUAAGUCAUGUGGUGUUUCGUCAAUAUGCAUCUCUUUGCAUAUUGAACUGCACUUAAUUUGUAGUAUUGUUUGUUGCACUUUGCUAUGUCAUGACAAACCGGACAUGCAUCAUACUUGAUUGCGCAUCAUGCAAUGAUUAUGUUUGGUUGUUUACUAUGUUGGUUGCUUCUUUCCGGUUGUACUCCGUUGUUUGCCUUGUUACCGCUUUGCUCAGCCCCUCUUAUAGCGUUGCUAGUUGCAGGUUAUUUCAUGUUGGGACAUGGAUGUCAUGGAUAUCAUGGGGUAUCACAAUAUCUUUUAUUUAAUUAUAAUGCAUCUAUAUACUUGGUAAAGGAUGGAAGGCUCGGCCUUUUGCUUGGUGUUUUGUUCCACUCUUGCCGCCCUAGUUUCCGUCAUACCGGUGUUAUGUUCCUUGAUUUUGCGUCCCUAACACGAUGAGGGUUUAUGGGCAGUUUGCUUUGAAUAAAACUCUUACAGCAAGGACCAACAUUGGUUUUACCAUUUGCCUAAUAACAACUAAAACUUGCAUAGGGACCGGCUAGCACCCGAGGAUUCUUAAUUAACCCCCGGGCCAGUGCUCCUCGUGAGUGCUGGUCCAAACUAGAGCACCCUGCGGCGCCCCCUGGGCAACUUGGGUCCCAGCGACCGUAAGCUUUGCUCAUCCGUCGUGGCCUGAGACGAGAUAUGAUCGGCUACUAUCAGGGUGUCAGCACAUCGGGAGGUCUUGCUGGACUUGUUUUACCAUUGUCGAAUUGUCUUGUGCAUCGGGACUCCGAGUCUGAUCGGAGGGUCCUGCGAUGGAGGAUUGUCUCCGUGGAUCGUGAGCUUGUCAUGGGCUAAGUUGGGACACCCCUGCAGGGUUUAAACUUUCGAGAGCCGUGCCCGCGGUUAUGUUGCAUAUGGGAAUUUGUUAAUAUCCGGUUGUAGUGAACUUGAAGUAAACUCAACUAAAAUACACCAACCGCGUGUGUAACCGUGACUGUCUCUUUUCGAGGAAGUUCGAGAAGAGAACACGGUUGUGUUAUGCUUGAACGUAAGUAGUUCAGGACCACCUCUUGAUCAUUACUAGUCUGCGACCGUUGCGUAGUUUUUCAUCUUCUUUUUGUAUUCGUAAGUUAGCCACCAUACAAUGCUUAGUGCUGCUGCAACCUCACCACUUAUCCAUUCAAUACCCAUUAAGCUUUGCUAGUCUUGAUACCCAUGGUAAUGGGAUUGCUGACUCCUCGUGGCUCGCAGAUUACUACAACAACAGUUGCAGGUACAAGUAAUGCGAUGAUCUGACGCGAGUGCGAUGCUUUCUUGUUUGGAGUUCUUAUGCUUCUUCUUCGAUCAAGGGAUAGGUUUCGGGUCGGAGAACCUGGGAUUAGCAGGGUGGAUGUUGUUCUUCUUUUUCGUUUGAUUUCAUUUGUAGUCGGAUCCUGCUCUUCUGUAUGAUGGUUGCCAUGUAUUGAUGUAUUGUUGUAUGAAUGUUGUAACUUGUGGCGAGUGUAAGCCUUUAUGUUGUAUUCUCAUCUAUUCAGUACAUGGUAUGUUGUAAUAAUAUCCACCUUGCUAUGCGCUCGAAA